rnacentral:rRNA from 1 species
GACGAACGCUGGCGGCGUGCUUAACACAUGCAAGUCGAGCGGUAAGGCCCUUUCGGGGGUACACGAGCGGCGAACGGGUGAGUAACACGUGGGUGACCUGCCCUCAGCUCUGGGAUAAGCCUGGGAAACCGGGUCUAAUACUGGAUAUGACUCCAUGACGCAUGUUGUGGGGUGGAAAGCCUUGUGCGGCUGAGGAUGGGCCCGCGGCCUAUCAGCUUGUUGGUGGGGUGANGGCCUACCAAGGCGACGACGGGUAGCCGGCCUGAGAGGGCGACCGGCCACACUGGGACUGAGACACGGCCCGGACUCCUACGGGAGGCAGCAGUGGGGAAUCUUGCGCAAUGGGCGAAAGCCUGACGCAGCGACGCCG